UACGUAGGUGGCAAGCGUUAUCCGGAAUUAUUGGGCGUAAGGCGCGCGUAGGCGGUUUUUUAAGUCUGAUGUGAAAGCCCACGGCUCAACCGUGGAGGGUCAUUGGAAACUGGAAAACUUGGGUGCAGAAGAGGAAAGUGGAAUUCCAUGUGUAGCGGUGAAAUGCGCAGAGAUAUGGAGGAACACCAGUGGCGAAGGCGACUUUCUGGUCUGUAACUGACGCUGAUGUGCGAAAGCGUGGGGAUCAAACAGGAUUAGAU
rnacentral:rRNA from 1 species